GGCACAAAGAGAUCUAGUUCAUGGCCAGGAUAUGCUUUUUCAGGAUCCAGGAACUGCCGCCCGAUCAGACAGGCCAGGAAGAAGCUGUAAACAGCCACGGUCACCACCUGGGAAAGAUGCCAGGGGACACACCAGAGAAACUUAAGUUCCCUACUUGCUUUCUCAGCGUUUUUCUUUUUUGUUCUCACCCCACUUGUAUCAAAACUGCGGUGAGCUGCUGGCUCAGGAGCCCUUGAAAGCCUUGUAUUCAGUUACAACAAGCUUCUCCUCUGCUUUCUGCAGGAAGAUUAAUUUUCACUGCAGAAAACUUUAAGUGUACCCUCUGCCCUUCAUCGUUAUGUACGCUGCAUUUCACUCCACGCUGUCCCUGGAAUGACAUCUCUGUUCCAGUAGUUCUCUGUAGCCCCUCAUGGUUUGGUAAGCAUUUUCCAUAUCUGGGAGGGGAACCCUGACCAUUAGUGCCAGCUCUGGUUUGGUCCUAAUGAAGGAUAUUUUUAUAUUUGCCUGCUUGCUUGCCCAAAUUUCAAGCUACAAUGAACUCUGUACUUUUCUGUGCAAUCACGAGACUGGAAACUUCCACUUUUCAAAUUAAUAACAGCCGAGACUCGUGUCAAGCAGGAAGGUUCAAAUCAAACACCCGGCAUCACGAGACUCUUCAGUUAGCCAGGCACUUCCCAGAAGGGAACAGCACAGGGCUGCUUCAAGAUGCACGUGUUAUAGGGUGCCUGCAAAGACAAACUUUGCAGUGUGGAUGGGCAACCAUAGAAAAAUGGGUCAUGCUCUACAGAGAGGAGACUGUUCCAGUCCAUUUGAUAAAUCCUGCUCACAACUCCAAGACCCAACUGAGGCUGCCAGAGGAGCUGUCAAUUUGGGCCCAGUCUUUUUUACAGCCUGACAUAGCUCUGUGGACCUAAACUACAGUGAUAUCUCUUCUCUGCAGGGCAUGGAUCUGCAUGUAUCUGUGUUUUCUGUGCACUCAUAUGGAGCACCUUACAGACACAUGCUUUGCUUCCUUGUGGCUUUACAGCUGUAUCCUAGAGACCUUUAUUGGACACUGGAAUAUGUGAAUGGUGGAGGAAGUUUGAUCCAGAACACACUACAUGGGUGUCUCCUAAGACUACACCUAGAUGUGAGUCAGAUGGUUCCUCCCAGUCCCAAUUUUGUGAAAGACAUUGCAUUCUUUAGCCUCUGCUGCAUGUGGCAUCACCACUGUGUCAACAGGCCAUGAAAAAUUCUACUCUGUCACCAGUUGGAAAGUGGCAGUGGGGGUAUUUCCCAUCAAAAUGAAUGUAACGUCCCCAGGGACAGGCAUGGCUCACUGUCUGGGCAUCCCACCUCAACAUUUCUGUUCCUUGCCUGACCUCUUAAAUCCCUGCAGUUCCACCUGGAGGACUGCAUGAGGAUCUCAGUUGCCUACUGUCACUCACAUUCAGGAUGCCUUGGAGCAGCACGCUGUCCCGGAUCCUCCCCUCAUUCCUUGCUUUCACAGCCAGAUUGGAGAACCACACGCAUGGGAUCCAAAACUUGUUGUGGGGAGAAUUCAAGCUCUCAAACUUCUUGUGCUCUUCAGGUGUCAUGAGGCCUAAGUGGAAAAGAACAGAUGAGAAAGGAAUGGCCAUAGAGAGCAGAAGGAGACCAAGUUCAUGAUGCGGUCAGGCCACGGGAUGCUCUCGUACUGCGCCCACCAGCGGGACACCACCAGGGCCACGUAGAAACCUAGAGAUCCUGGUAGGGACACAAAAUGAGCAGUUGUUGAAGCUGCCAAGCAAACCUGCACAGAGGGAGGCCUGGACA